rnacentral:rRNA from 1 species
UACGGAGGGUACGAGCGUUGUCCGGAAUCACUGGGCGUAAAGGGCGCGUAGGCGGCAUGCCAAGCGUGUGGUGAAAGCCCGGGGCUCAACCCCGGGUCGGCCGUGCGGACUGGCGUGCUCGAGCACUGUAGGGGCGGGUGGAAUUCCGGGUGUAGCGGUGGAAUGCGUAGAGAUACGGAAGAACACCGAUGGCGAAGGCAAUCCCCUGGGCCUGCACUGACGCUCAUGCACGAAAGCGUGGGGAGCAAACAGG